rnacentral:rRNA from 1 species
CAUGCUGUGACGGUACUUAACCAGAAAGGGACGGCUAACUACGUGCCAGCAGCCGCGGUAAUACGUAGGUCCCGAGCGUUGUCCGGAUUUAUUGGGCGUAAAGCGAGCGCAGGCGGUUAGAAAAGUCUGAAGUGAAAGGCAGUGGCUCAACCAUUGUAGGCUUUGGAAACUGUUUAACUUGAGUGCAGAAGGGGAGAGUGGAAUUCCAUGUGUAGCGGUGAAAUGCGUAGAUAUAUGGAGGAACACCGGU